GGCCGUUACCCAGCGUUUUCUUUACAAUUCGAAGAAUCUAUCGCGCGGCAUGGACAUUAUUUCGCGCGACUCCAUUCUGUCAUAUGUAGUUACCCAGCGGAUUUUUCUUCUUUUAUUUAAAAGUACUUCUUCUAUACACAAUCAUAGCUUCUUGAAUUUCCGAUGAAGAUGACUUACGGUUUACUGGAUGGCAUGGUUCCCCACUACCCCCCACUACAACACGACUCAACAGAGGAAACAAACAUGCUGACAGUGCCUCAACAUAUGUUGGCCCAACCAGGAGUACCACAGCAUGGAAUAAAUAUUGCUGUAACUCCAGAAGAUCAAAAGGAGAAGAAAAGAAAAAUCGAUGCCAAUUAUCGACAACGUUGUAAGAUAAGGAAAGAAGAGCUGGGGAUUAACUUGCAAAUUCUUCGGGAAGAAAAUGCUCAUUUGAAGAGGGAGAAUGAGUCUUGUAGGAAAGAAAAUGAUUCAAUGGCUCAAAAAUUGCAGUCAAAAGAAGUUGAGAUAGGGAACCUUAAAAGAGAGAUUGGCAACUCAAAGAAAGUUAUUUCUAAUCAAGAAAUCUGUUGGAAUCACUGUCACAAAACCCUUUUGUGCAACAACUAAUGCUUGGACCUAACCAACUUGAGAUGGUGCUGCUAGAAAAUGAACGCAAUAUGCUGUGUCAAAAUGCCAAGUGGGAUAAUUGGGCAUCUGAAAGAAUACAACUUUUGAAUGAGAUUGAGAAACUGGGACAGCGGAAUAUGGUGCUCAAAAUGCAAAGUCAAGCUUUACGUGACAAGAUACUGAACCAAAAAGACUGUUGCAUUAAAAUCAAUCCAAGAAAGUUAAAGAUGGCAACCACCGAUUGCAAUCACUGCCAGCAGACUUCUCAAACCACCAGUUACUAGCUGUUAGUUGUCUUCACAAACCGCCAACAGCCUUCACAAACCGCCAGACGCAUUCACACCACUGCUAACUAAGAUUUUUCUUACUUUCAAUUUAUAUAUAAAUAGGUAGCUAAGUUUAUGUUACAGUGUGUGGGAAAGAUAAAAGAGAAACACUAAAAAAAAAAAAGAGGGUAUGUAUUAAAAGCUUUUGUUUAUGUUGUAAGCUUCUUGUUGUUGAAAUAAAACAAUAUGUUUUAUCCUCUUUGAGUGUUUCAAAACUAUCAAUAACGGUUUCUCCCACCAAUAAAGACUACAGUAGGAAGCAUGAGAAGGUACCAUUAAAUAUUUUUCAAGGAUUAUUUGCAUAGUUUCACGCAAAAAGUGCUUGCAACUUUCUUCUCUUACAAUAGUUUGCUAAAUGUAUUUAUGUAGUUUCCUUUUGCCAAGUUUCUCAGCAAGCAUACGUGGUUUCCUAGCUCUAUCAUUUCCAUUACUUUUCUCUCUCUCCUGUGUUCAAGUGCUCAAAUCAGGAACCACAAGUUCAAAAACAAAUUUGACAGAAGGACAAUUUUCACGACAUUUAGCUGGCUUUGCUGACAAUGGCGGUAGUCAUUGCUUUGUUGGUUUCAUUUUUUGAAAUAAGUGAUUUGAUAAACUUCUUUUUUUUGUUAUGCAACUUGUAAAGACAUGUAAUUGAAACAGUUUUAAGAGACUUGUAAUGAAAUGUGGCUCGUAUGACUAACUUGAAGAUUAUUUA